rnacentral:tRNA from 1 species
CCUCUCAUGGCGUAGUGGUUAACGCGACCUGCAGCUAGAGAUCGGGGAGUCGUGAGUUCGAUUCUCACUGAGAAGA